rnacentral:lncRNA from 10 species
GGGAAGUGUUUGCAUCAUGGAGGCAAAUUCCUCAUAAAUAGACUAAUGUCCUCCCUGGUGGAGGGGAGGUGAGUGAUUUCUCACUGUAUUGGUUCCUGUGAAAUCUGGUUGUUAAAAAGAGCCUGGAACCUUCCCUCUCACUCUCUAUUGCUUCCUCUCUUGCCAUGUGAUCUCUGCAUACCUCGGCUCCUCUUCACCUUCUGCCCAGAGUGGAAGCAGCCUAAGGCCCUCACCAGAAGCAGCUGCUCGUGUCAUUUUUCUUGCAGAGCCGGAAGAACUGUCCCUGAUCAACCAGUCAAGCCGUUCACCACCGCUCGUUUAAUUGAAUGCUCCAGUUCUUUUCAUUUCCGAAGUUAUGGUGAGAAGAACUAAGUGGAAAAUGGUGAUAAAUUACCUGAUAUGCAAAAGCGCAUUCUGCUAAAUGGAAGACAUCCUCAAUUCUGUUGGAGGGGCAGUUACUAUUGAAAUGCAUAAAUGUUUGAGACUAAAUAUUUUCAUAAUACUGUUUUCUCUCCACACCAAGUACUUUUCUCCUGUUUAUAUUGGUAGAAUAUCACAGUUUGUUUGGAUUAAAGUGUAACUUAAAUGUGCACUACAUAAAUUUUGAGAAGAGCUCUACCCCAUGAGAUUUUUUUUUUCUUUUCUUUUCUUUUUUUUUUUUUUGAGAUGGAGUCUCACCCUGUCGCCCAGGCUGGAAUGCAGUGGCACAAGCUCGGCUCACUGCAAGCUCCACCUCAUGGUUCACGCCAUUCUUCUGCCUCAGCCUCCCAAGUAGCUGGGACUACAGGCACCCGCCACCAUGCCUGGCUAAUUUUUUUGUAUUUUUAUUAGAGAUGGGGUUUCACUGUGUGUUAGCCAGGAUGGUCUCGAUCUCCUGACCUCGUGAUCCGCCUGCCUUGGCCUCCCAAAGUGCUGGGAUUACAGGUGUGAGCUACCGCACCUGGCCCCCAUGAGAUUCCUAAUAUCAUUUGUGCCAUGACAUUGUGCUACACCCAAAUGUAUAUUUUAUUUUAUCAUUUCAAAAUAAUUCAAUAAAUAUAAUUUUAAAAGCAAACAC